CGUGUGUGCAUGGACAUGGAUUCUUGUUCAAAGAAAGGUUCAACAAAACCAAACAAGAACUGGUUUUCUUCUCUGACUGAGCUCACAAUUUUAGUGUGAUGACAGACAAAGAGUCCUCAGCGUGCCUCCGUGAAUCCUGUGCUAGAAUGGCCUGUCCUCUGGAACUGCGAGCCCAGGCAAGCCUUUCUUUCCUUAAGCAGCUUUCGUCAAAGAUUAAUGCUCACAUCCACAAGGAAAACAGCUAUUACAGAGGCUCUCUGUAGGAUCAGGUGGGAGGCACGUAUGUGUGUGCCACACUGCCUGUGCAGGUCAGAGGACAACCUCAAGCGUCCCCUUGUUUGGGACAGUCUCUUUUUUCCUGUUUGGCACCAAGCCUGCAGGGAUUCUUCUGCCGCUGCUGUUAUUGUACUACCAGAGGAAGGGGAUUCCAGAUGUGGCUACGGUGCACCCAGCUUUCUGUGAGUUCUGGGAGUUUGAACGCCGGUUCUCACGUGUGCCUGGCAAAUGCUGCACCCACCGAGCCGUCUUCCGAGUCCCAAAGCUGUUACCCACGAGAUCCUGUUCAGCGAACACUCAUUAAACAGUGACUAUGGGAACUGUAGCCAAAAGGGAAGGAAAUACUGAAAUACUGAAAAAGCAUCAUGACAUGUGCUCAGCUUAUA